rnacentral:lncRNA from 1 species
GUAAGUGGAGAGGGAUAAACAAAUCAGUGAAAGGUAUGCAUGUCAGCUGCUAAUCCAUGCUACAGGGAGACAUUCAGCAGGCUUGGGGAUAGGAAGCUCCAGGUAUGUGGGAGGGUGUGUUAGCUUCCUGUGGUUGCUAUGACGAAUCACCACCAACCUGAUAGCUUCACACAACACAUAUGGACUCUCUCCUAGCUCUGGAGUAGGAUGGUCAGGGAAGACCCUGCUGAGAAGCCACCAUUUGAGCCAAGACUGGAGGAGCUGAGGCUGCGGGCCAGGAUGACAUCGAGGGUGGAGCCUUCCAGGCAAAAAAACAAUCGUGUGAAAGUUUUUCGUCAUGUCCAGGCACCACCUCUUCCCGGUCAGGCCCACGUUACAUACGAGGACAAUGGAACAAGUCAAAGGCAAAGCAACACGUCCCCCUGUAAAAACUGUCAGUGUAACCGUCCACUUCCGUAUCUGUCCAGUCACUUAACAAACAUUGACGGACCACCUUUAAACACAGGCUGCUGUGCUGGUGUCUGGGACACAGCGCCUGACACUCAGGAGAUGGGGAGAGCCUUCCUCUCACUCCGCCUCAGGAGGAGCUCGAACCUGCUCCCUUAAAUCUCCAUCAGCUCCGCAAGCACUUGGGCUCUGCUGGCUGUAACGCUGCUCCCUGUUUACCAGAGGCUUUUGCUGGCACAUGUAUCACUCAGACUCUGAACUAGAUCAAGCCACAGAAAACUUCGAUUCAUGGAGCUGCUGGUCCCCAUUACCACAAGAUAUGCAUUCUUUCUCUUUGAUAAGGAAUUAAGGUGCCAUAUUCAAACUUUAAUCUGUAAAUACAGGUAAAUAAAACAUGAUUACAGAAAUCAUUUUCAAUAAAAAUCCAUCUUGAGCUUAAGUUUCUGCCUUACUGAAUUCAACUUUUGAGAGUGGGUGGUUGUGCCUGCUGCAGAUAAUUGUGACCCUGAAUAGCUGGAACUGUGUUCACUGUGAACCAAUGUUUCCUCUGAGAGCCCCAAAGACCCUGAGUGUGAAUCGCUUGAGUGGGUGGGGUCUCUUACCCUGUGAGUCCUCCCACCAGGGGCCCCAUCCUUCCACCCAUCUUUCC